GAAAGGACAGCUCCUUCUACAGAACUAUCCCCACUUACCUAGUACCUCACAGAAGACUGUCCACAGGGUCAGGAUUGAUGUGCUGUGGACAGGAAGUAAUUUAAACGAUAUAGCUCAGAAUGUGCUUACUGCUAUUGAAUGGACAAGAAAGAAAAGGGGUUAUGGUGGCUUUGAGGGCCCCCACUGAGCAAGAGAUAAUAAAUUCUUCCAGGCACAGACUGUCUGCUACUGUGUGUGUGUAGAGCACCCAGCUGAGCCCCCCAAA